rnacentral:rRNA from 1 species
AGUAGUUGUAUUCGUGGCUCGAGGAUAGAACGCGUGGCGGCGUGACUUAACACAUGACGAAGUACGAACGGUAGUUUAACGGAAGUUUUCGGAUGGAAGUUUAGAAACUUAGUGGCGGACGGGUGAGUAACGCGUGGGUAACCUGCCUCAUACAGGGGGAUAACAGUUAGAAAUGACUGCUAACACCGCAUAACAUAGCGAAACCGCAUGAUUUUGCUAUCAAAUAUUUAUAGGUAUGAGAUGGGCCCGCGUCUGAUUAGCUAGUUGGUGGGGUAAAAGCCUACCAAGGCGACGAUCAGUAGCCGGCUUGAGAGAGUGGCCGGCCACAUUGGGACUGAGACACGGCCCAAACUCCUACGGGAGGCAGCAGUGGGGAAUAUUGGACAAUGGGGGAAACCCUGAUCCAGCGACGCCGCCGUGAGUGAAGAAGUAUUUCGGUAUGUAAAGCUCUAUCAGCAGGGAAGAUAAUGACAGUACCUGACUAAGAAGCCCCGGCUAGCUACGUGCCAGCAGCAGC